rnacentral:rRNA from 1 species
UACGUAGGGUGCGAGCGUUGUCCGGAAUUAUUGGGCGUAAAGAGCUCGUAGGCGGUGUGUCGCGUCGGCCGUGAAAACCUGGGGCUCAACUCUGGGCGUGCGGUCGAUACGGGCAUCACUGGAGUUCGGCAGGGGGAGACUGGAAUUCCUGGUGUAGCGGUGAAAUGCGCAGAUAUCAGGAGGAACACCGGUGGCGAAGGGCGGGGUCUCUGGGGCCGAUACUGACGCUGAGGAGCGAAAAGCAUGGGGUAGCGAACAGG